UACGUAGGGUGCAAGCGUUGUCCGGAAUCACUGGGCGUAAAGGGCGCGUAGGUGGCCCGACAAGUCAGUGGUGAAAGUUCGACGCUUAACGUCGAAUCGGCCACUGAUACUGUUGGGCUGGAGCACUGUAGAGGCUCAUGGAAUUCCGGGUGUAGCGGUGGAAUGCGUAGAGAUCCGGAAGAACACCGGUGGCGAAGGCGGUGAGCUGGGCAGUUGCUGACACUGAGGCGCGACAGCGUGGGGAGCAAACAGG
rnacentral:rRNA from 1 species